CUUCCCUCUCCUUCUUCUGACAUUCAAUGUUUAGAAGGGAGAAUGGAGACUUAACAGAAACAUUUUGAGAGAAUAUCUCCUCUACAUUUAACAGAUCCAUUCAGAUCUGGCUCUUGCUGCAUUUUAUCAUCUCCUUAGAAUAAUGCGGAUUGUGUUAAGGAUGAUUCUGGGUCCCUAGAACGUAUGCUGGAUGAAGGCAUGGGGUCUUAUGUGUGCAGUUCACUUUUGGGGCCUCAGGGCCUGGAACAGGCCUGGCCCACGUGGCUUGGAUGCUGCAUAUGAAGUUACAAGCAAAGAUACCCUUUUUGUGUUUAAAGGAAGUCAGUUCUGGGCCAUGAGAGGAACGGAGGUACAAGCAGGUUAUCCGAAAGGCAUCCGCACCCUGGGUUUUCCUGCAACUGUGGGGAAAAUUGAUGAGCAGCCUUUUCUAAUAAGGAAAAGAAGAAAACGUACUUCUUUGUAGGGGACAAAUGCUGGCGAUUUGAUGAAAACAGCCAGUCCAUGGAGCAAGGCUUCCCCAGACUGACAGCGGAUGACUUUCCCAGGGUUGCGGAGGUUGACGCCAUAUUUCAGCACUUUGAGCGAGCCCCGGUGGAAAAGCUGCAGCAUGGAACGGGGAGCGGAGAGGGGGCAGGGCUGGAAAAGCAGCUCCCUGAUCAGGCCACCCCGACAGCAGCAGCACAGGCGGCCACACGGCAGAAACCCGGUGGUGGGUGUCCGCAGGGCGCGGACUGCACGGAGCCCUGGGUGUUCCGCACAGACGGUGAAUCAUGGAACACGACCUCAAACACGGAUGAUGUACUGUACGGUGACUAACAUGACACAACAAAUCAGAGGGAAGGAAGGAAAUCUGACCACAGCCUCCAGGGAUGAUCUGGGUAUGGAUGGGCCCAGUGGCUCGCGGACUAAAGGGAAACAUCUGAGGACCGUCCCCAAGGGCGUCCUCUCUGCGGUUCGGCUCCGCAGUCAGAAUGAUCCUGUAGCCUUCAGGCUGGAUGUCCACCAGGGCCUGGAAGCUACAGCCUUUACCUCUCUUCAGUAUGUUGUCUCUGUCCACCAAAUAGGGUGCCGCUCCCCUCUGGUCAAGCUGCCCUCGUUCCUGGGCUGCACGGAGUCAGGCGCUGUGGGAAGGAGCGAGGAAUCCCACGACUGGCUGAGACCCGUGAAGGUGGGAGGCGGCUAACCCCAACCUCACACCCUGCCAUGGCGGGCGGGGUUUGGGGG